GACGAACGCUGGCGGCGUGCCUAAUACAUGCAAGUCGAGCGGAAGUUGGAGAGCUUGCUCUUCAACUUUAGCGGCGGACGGGUGAGUAACACGUGGGCAACCUGCCCUGCAGAUCGGGAUAACUCCGGGAAACCGGUGCUAAUACCGAAUAGUUUUCGCCACCUCCUGGUGGCGUACGGAAAGACGGUUUCGGCUGUCACUGCAGGAUGGGCCCGCGGCGCAUUAGCUAGUUGGUGGGGUAACGGCCCACCAUGGCGACGAUGCGUAGCCGACCUGAGAGGGUGAUCGGCCACACUGGGACUGAGACACGGCCCAGACUCCUACGGGAGGCAGCAGUAGGGAAUCUUCCGCAAUGGACGAAAGUCUGACGGAGCAACGCCGCGUGAGUGACGAAGGUUUUCGGAUCGUAAAACUCUGUUGUGAGGGAAGAACAAGUACCAACUAACUACUGGUACCUUGUCGGUACCUCACCAGAAAGCCACGGCUAACUACGUGCCAGCCGCCGCGGUAACAC
rnacentral:rRNA from 1 species